CAGGCUCUUAAUCAGAUGCAUUUGCCCAUUCUGUUAUCCGGUUAGCCAGUAGGGCUUUGACUGUGGUGAUUCGUCUUCGAGUCGAUUGAAGAUUCUGGAUUUCGCCGAAAUACUUCUACUUUGCGGGGUUUUCUGACGGACGUGUCUCCCCCGGGUUCGCCACGCCCCUCUUGCUGUUUCCCGAUUGGCAGUUUUGGCAUCUCGGGGUAAUAGUAUUUGGUCUGCCGCAUCGGUAGCAAAACAAUCCCCUUUCGGAGGAUGGGCAAUCCAUAAACAUGUGGCCCUCUGCACGACAAUUCCAGCAAACGAUGGUCCUAUUUUGCUGAAUGUUCGUUCGAAUAGCCGAAAUACAUUCGGGGGCUUCCCGGUGCGUCUCGUGUUCGUCAAAUUCAUAUUCGUCAAGGGCCACUUCAUUGACAUGUCUCGUAGGACGCGUGUGAGGAGCCACAGGCCUUGGAUCUCGCCUUGGAAAAUUCCUCUCGGCCUCUUUGCACUCAACACGCAGCAUCUCUACGGUGGCGAUGGACAUCGGAUAAACCACCAUCUUAAUAUUUUCCUUGACAUUUACCUUUAUGAUGCUAAUCAUGUCUUGGUCAGUUAUAGGGUGUAACAAGCGAGAUCUCAGCUGUCCCAUGGCCUGGAAAUACGCAUCAACCGGUUCAUUUGACAACUGUUUUCUGUCCACCAAGUGUCUCAUGGCUUCGAACGCCGAUUUGGUAGAGCGAUAUUGGCACAGGAGAGCAUCCUUCAAUUGAAUCCACUGGGUGAAAUUCCUUAGUUUCUGUGAUUGCCAGAACCACUCCAAUACGGGUCCAGAUACUAAUAAUCUAAAGUCCCUUAAGAUCUCCUCCCACGGGACUCCGUAUUGCGACUGUAGGCACUCCAAGCGGAAUAUAAAUUCCUCAACGGUGACUGUGAGUAGUUC